GAUGAAGAACGUAGUGAAAUGCGAUAACUAAUGUGAAUUGCAGAAUUCCGUGAAUCAUCGAGUCUUUGAACGCACAUUGCGCCCCCUGGUAUUCCGGGGGGCAUGCCUGUCCGAGCGUCAUUGCUGCCCAUCAAGCACGGCUUGUGUGUUGGGUCCUCGUCCCCCCCGGGGGACGUGCCCGAAAGGCAGCGGCGGCACCGCGUCCGGUCCUCGAGCGUAUGGGGCUUUGUCACCCGCUCUGCAGGCCCGGCCGGCGCUGGCCGACGCGAAAGCAACCAUUUUUUCUCCAGGUUGACCUCGGAUCAGGUAGGGAUACCCGCUGAACUUAAGCAUAUCAAUAAGCGGAGGA
rnacentral:misc_RNA from 1 species